GCUACGGGUGGCAGCAGUAGGGAAUCUUGCGCAAUGGGGGGAACCUUGAUGCAGCAACGCCGCGUGAGUGAAGAAGUAUUCCGGUAUGUAAAGCUCUGUCAUCAGGGAAGAACAUGACGUUACCUGACCAAUAACCCCCUGAUGACUACUGACCAGCAGCCGAGGUAAUACGUAGUGGGCGAGGGUGAUCCGGUUUUAGUGGGUGUAACGGGAGCGUAGACUGCAGGGCAAGACUGGAGUGAAAGCCCGUGGCCCAACCACGGGACUGCUUUGGAAACUGGGCUGCGGGAGUGCAGGAGGGGUAAGCGGAAUUCCUAGUGUAGCGGUGAAAUGCGUAGAUAUUAGGAGGAACACCAGUGGCGAAGGCGGCUUACUGGACUGUAACUGACGUUGAGGCUCGAAGGCGUGGGUAGCAAACAGGAUUAGAUACCCGAGUAGUC
rnacentral:rRNA from 1 species